GUGCAGUACUUGGCUGUGACAUCACACAGUUCCAUGGUUAGUCCAGACAAUAGACGAGGGUGUAGCCUAUACUUGGCUGUGACAUCACAGAGUUCCAUGGUUAGUCCAGACAAUAGACGAGGGUGUAGCCUAUACUUGGCUGUGACGUCACAGAGUUCCAUGGUUAGUCCAGACAAUAGACGAGGGUGUAGCCUAUACUUGGCUGUGACGUCACAGAGUUCCAUGGUUAGUCCAGACAAUAGACGAGGGUGUAGCCUAUACUUGGCUGUGACGUCACAGAGUUCCAUGGUUAGUGCAGGCAAUAGACGAGGGUGUAGCCUAUACUUGGCUGUGACAUCACACAGUUCCAUGGUUAGUCCAGACAAUAGACGAGGGUGUAGCCUAUACUUGGCUGUGACGUCACAGAGUUCCAUGGUUAGUCCAGACAAUAGACGAGGGUGUAGCCUAUACUUGGCUGUGACGUCACAGAGUUCCAUGGUUAGUCCAGACAAUAGACGAGGGUGUAGCCUAUACUUGGCUGUGACGUCACAGAGUUCCAUGGUUAGUCCAGACAAUAGACGAGGGUGUAGCCUAUACUUGGCUGUGACGUCACAGAGUUCCAUGGUUAGUCCAGACAAUAGACGAGGGUGUAGCCUAUACUUGGCUGUGACAUCACAGAGUUCCAUGGUUAGUCCAGGCAAUAGACGAGGGUGUAGCCUAUACUUGGCUGUGACGUCACAGAGUUCCAUGGUUAGUCCAGACAAUAGACGAGGGUGUAGCCUAUACUUGGCUGUGACAUCACAGAGUUCCAUGGUUAGUGCAGGCAGUAGACGAGGGUGUAGCCUAUACUUGGCUGUGACAUCACACAGUUCCAUGGUUAGUCCAGACAAUAGACGAGGGUGUAGCCUAUACUUGGCUGUGACAUCACACAGUUCCAUGGUUAGUCCAGACAAUAGACGAGGGUGUAGCCUAUACUUGGCUGUGACAUCACACAGUUCCAUGGUUAGUCCAGACAAUAGACGAGGGUGUAGCCUAUACUUGGCUGUGACAUCACAGAGUUCCAUGGUUAGUCCAGACAAUAGACGAGGGUGUAGCCUAUACUUGGCUGUGACAUCACAGAGUUCCAUGGUUAGUGCAGGCAGUAGACGAGGGUGUAGCCUAUACUUGGCUGUGACAUCACAGAGUUCCAUGGUUAGUGCAGGCAAUAGACGAGGGUGUAGCCUACUAUUGUACACUAUUCUCCCUACUAUAAUUAUAUGUACACUUAUCUUCCAACAUUACCAUGAAUUAAAGAACUGAAUGUGGCAAUUUUCAAAAUGAAUCAAACCCCUGUUUUCUUUCUUUCGUGUGUAAAGCCUCUCCAAACCAGUUUUUUAUGAUUCAGAAGUACUUUCCUAACCCUAAAUCAUCUACAAGAUCAGAGCAUUUUUAAAUAUGAUAAUUGCUGCUGAAUCCGAGACAAAUAUGCUCAUAUUUAGAUGACUUUCUUUCAUUGAUCCCUAAUAUAUCUCAACCUGUUCUCUCUAUAUAUUCUAUUGAGUCUGUCGCCAAAAUACUAACUAAAAGGUACACUAUAUUUAAAGGGAUGGCUUCAGAUAAAUGUCCUGAAAACCCUAUUGAAUGAAAACUCCACGAGAAAAUCUGUUGGCUGGCAUGUGGGAGGGUUUUCAGCGGUUUAAUCAAAUGUAUUCAGCGCACGCAAGGGAACCACGCCUGCAAAGCCUGUUACACACCUUCAUAAGGUCAGUCUGAAUACCAACUACAGAGAAGUGUGUAGGAAAGGUGUGCAUAAAAAACAUGUCCUAAGUCGGAAUCGGACCUAUGCAAAUAGUUAACUGUUAGUACCGGUAGAAAAUUCUGUCAUUUGAAACAUG
rnacentral:lncRNA from 1 species